rnacentral:rRNA from 1 species
AGAGUUUGAUUCUGGCUCAGAAUGAACGCUGGCGGCGUGCCUAACACAUGCAAGUCGCACGAGAAAGGCUGGGUUUCGGCUUGGCCGAGUAAAGUGGCGCACGGGUGAGUAACGCGUGGGUGACCUACCCUCGAAUCUGGGAUAACCUCGCGAAAGCGGGGCUAAUACCGGAUACGUCCCUUCGGGGAGAAAGCCGGCCUCUCGAAGAAGCUGGUGUUCGGGGAUGGGCCCGCGUCCUAUCAGCUAGUUGGUAGGGUAACGGCCUACCAAGGCGACGACGGGUAGCUGGUCUGAGAGGAUGAUCAGCCACACUGGCACUGGAACACGGGCCAGACUCCUACGGGAGGCAGCAGUGAGGAAUUUUGCGCAAUGGGAGCAAUCCUGACGCAGCAACGCCGCGUGGGUGAAGAAGGCCUUCGGGUCGUAAAGCCCUGUCAGGAGGGAAGAACCUCGCUGGGGCGAAUAGCCUUGGCGACUGACGGUACCUCCAGAGGAAGCACCGGCUAACUCCGUGCCAGCAGCCGCGGUAAUACGGAGGGUGCGAGCGUUAUUCGGAAUUACUGGGCGUAAAGCGCGUGUAGGCGGCAGGGCAAGUCUGGUGUGAAAGCCCGGGGCUCAACCCCGGAAGUGCAUUGGAAACUGCUCUGCUUGAGUACCGGAGAGGAAGGGGGAAUUCCCGGUGUAGCGGUGAAAUGCGUAGAUAUCGGGAGGAAUAUCAGUGGCGAAGGCGCCCUUCUGGACGGUUACUGACGCUGAGACGCGAAAGCGUGGGGAGCAAACAGGAUUAAAUACCCUGGUAGUCCACGCCGUAAACAAUGGGCACUAGGUGUAACGGGGAUUGACCCCUGG